GCCGGGAUAGCUCAGUUGGUAGAGCACCGCAUUCGUAAUGCGGUUGUCCGGAGUUCAAAUCUCCGUUCCGGCACCA
rnacentral:tRNA from 1 species